rnacentral:rRNA from 1 species
GCCUAACACAUGCAAGUCGAACGGUAGCACAGGGAGCUUGCUCUCGGGUGACGAGUGGCGGACGGGUGAGUAAUGUCUGGGAAACUGCCCGAUGGAGGGGGAUAACUACUGGAAACGGUAGCUAAUACCGCAUAACGUCUUCGGACCAAAGUGGGGGCCCUUCGGGCCUCACACCAUCGGAUGUGCCCAGAUGGGAUUAGCUAGUAGGUGGGGUAACGGCUCACCUAAGCGACGAUCCCUAGCUGGUCUGAGAGGAUGACCAGCCACACUGGAACUGAGACACGGUCCAGACUCUUACGGGAGGCAGCAGUGGGGAAUAUUGCACAAUGGGCGCAAGCCUGAUGCAGCCAUGCCGCGUGUAUGAAGAAGGCCUUCGGGUUGUAAAGUACUUUCAGUGGGGAGGAAGGCGAAGAGGUUAAUAACCUUUUCGAUUGACGUUACCUGCAGAAGAAGCACCGG